AUCUUUGUGCUUGGGGUAAUGACACAACUAUUGAGGUAAUAACCGGGGUGCGUCAAUUGCUGGUUGAAAACUAUUUUUGUACCUCCUCUUCGACCUGGGGUAAACGUUGGCUGUUGACAAUUUCUGAAAUGCUCUUGUUCUAGAGU